rnacentral:miRNA from 1 species
GAUUAGUGACAGAGUGAGGGAGGGGGUGACUAGUGACAGAGUGAGGGAGCGGGUGACACAGUGACAGUUAGGGAGGGAGUGACUAGUGACAGUCACCCCCUCCCUCCCUCUGUCACUAGUCACUCCCUCCCUCUGUCACUAGUCACUCC